UGGGGAAUAUUGGACAAUGGGCGCAAGCCUGAUCCAGCAAUGCCGCGUGUGUGAAGAAGGCCUUCGGGUUGUAAAGCACUUUUAUCAGGAGCGAAACGCUGUCGGCUAAUACCCGGCGGAACUGACGGUACCUGAGGAGUAAGCACCGGCUAACUUCGUGCCAGCAGCCGCGGUAAUACGAAGGGUGCAAGCGUUAAUCGGAAUUACUGGGCGUAAAGCGUGCGUAGGCGGUUUCUUAAGUCUGCUGUGAAAUCCCCGGGCUCAACCUGGGAAUGGCAGUGGAUACUGGGAGGCUAGAGUGUGUCAGAGGGUGGUGGAAUUCCCGGUGUAGCGGUGAAAUGCGUAGAGAUCGGGAGGAACAUCAGUGGCGAAGGCGGCCACCUGGGACAACACUGACGCUGAGGCACGAAAGCGUGGGGAGCAAACAGGAUUAGAUACCCUGGUAGUCCACGCCCUAAAGCGAUGCGAACUGGAUGUUGGUCUCAACUCGGAGAUCAGUGUCGAAGCUAACGCGUUAAGUUCGCCGCCUGGGGAGUACGGUCGCAAGACUGAAACUCAAAGGAAUUGAC
rnacentral:rRNA from 1 species